rnacentral:rRNA from 1 species
UACGGAGGGUGCAAGCGUUAUCCGGAUUCACUGGGUUUAACGGGUGCGUAGGCGGCCAAGUAAGUCAGUGGUGAAAUCUCUGGGCUUAACUCAGAAACUGCCGUUGAUACUAUUUGUCUUGAAUAUCUUGGAGGUAAGCGGAAUAUGUCAUGUAGCGGUGAAAUGCUUAGAUAUGACAUAGAACACCGAUAGCGAAGGCAGCUUACUACAGGAAGAUUGACGCUGAGGCACGAAAGCGUGGGGAGCAAACAGG